GCAUUCAGAUACACCCUGGAUUAUAUAUAAGAUGCUAAAUUGAAGUCUUGAUGUCCUCCAGCUUCCAUUUACUAGACCAGGGGCAGUGGCCAGGAAUGAACCCUAUGGAGCAUCAUCCUUGGAACCAGGUCACUUGAUGAACACAGUCUGUAGCUUCAAUGACUGGCUUAAGAACUGUUACUCGGGAGAGGAACAAUAGCCAGAGGUGGGCUAGGAGGGCAAGGAGGAUGCUUAAUGCAGACAAACACCAGCCACAUCUCAAGCCCAACUUAACCUGGAACAGCAACAAGAAAGGGAGCCAGCAGGGUGGAGAGACACCCCCGCCCCAGCACACUUCUCCCACAGAAAUUGUCCGAGCUAACGCCUUUCAUAAGAGCAGAGGAACUGCAGCGCCUCUGCACCUCCCACCAAGUCACAGGGCAUCCAUUGUCCGAUCCGUUCGUGACUCCGGGGGUCAUGUCGGCAGCACUGACGCAAAUAAAUGCAUGGCAGAGUCCACACUGAGCUCUCAGUGGAGUGGAGUACCGAGUAGUCCUCUGAGGUGGUCAACCGGAUAUGUGACGAGCCUCGGGCGGUCAUCUGAGCACAUGAGCACACAAUGCUCGCACAGGAAGUGAUUCAAUUCUGUAUCCUUAUGCGGUCAGGCUGAGCUUGAUGCCAAGUAGAUUAUUACCGCUGUGGCAAGCCCGUGGUCAUCGUCUACUCUUCCAGUACAGGUACGAAAUCAACACUUUGGUCCUGAUACCAGACACUCCGAGUGCCAAGGGCAGGCGAGUGCAGUGAAGACUGUCCACGGAUCGUGUCCACCUUUGCAAGAUAGCAGUGUUUUCUUAGGGGAAGAAUAUGAAGGGAUCUAAAAUAAGAUCCUUGGGCCAUCACUGGAAAGGAAGGCAGAAGCACCCCCCACCACCACCACCAUCAAAGGGUACUUCAAGGGUGCUACAAAGCCAUGUCCUCAGAGCCCCUCAGCGACCACUGGCCUUGAGUGUGUACAAGCUGACGGCAGAGUGAUGGUGUAAAUUGUGUCCAAGUCAUGAACUUACCUUCCGGGAGAGCAAAGGGGGUGCUACCAAAAUCUACACGUGAGCAAGUGGUAUAAAGAGAAGACUGCUAAGAAGGAAGAGACUUUGAGGCUAAGACCCAGGGCAUAAAGAAGAAGUGGCCAUACCCAUGCCCUUUGUGAGCAUUAAAGUAUUACCUAUACUGUA
rnacentral:lncRNA from 1 species